AUUGCAUACUAAAAGAAAGCAGUGAACAGCGCACAUAUUGUCUUUUAACAUUCAAGAAGGAUGAGAUUUUACGUAUAUGAGAUACGUUGCUUAAUUACCUCGCGUUCUUCUAUAGUCACUCCUUCUACAUCCAUACUUUGAGCUUGUGUGUCUUCCUGAAAGGAGAAUAUGUUUUCAACUUUAAAACUGUAUAACUUUAGACGCUACCAUCAACAAAGUUGCUGACCUGAUUUAGAGUAUAGUAGAGAUCUGAAAACGUGUUGGGGUGGAUGGCUAAAACAGAUAUAAUCAUUGAAAGUUAGUAAAUCAAGAAACGCACUUGUAUUGAAAGGAUACGCGUACUUUUUCCACCCAAGAAAAUCGACAAAGCAACAGCAUCAUAACCUACUGCACUACAAUAUACUUACCCACAGGAUACCUCGGUACACCCUCAAAGAUAAGUUGCUUCCUAGAAGAUAUAAUUGCAUGGCAGGAAGACCAAUCUACUAACUUGGUGGGGAAAAUCCUCACGCUUUUUGAUGACAAUGCGAAAAAGUCGUCAAGACCCUUGAAUUGAAAUUGGAGAAGAUGUAAAGGAAAUGGGAAUUAAAUGUCAUGAUCUAUUGUUGUACAUACCUCAUAAAUUUGUCCAUUCGCUACAUACAUCAUACCACGAAGAUAAAGGUAGCACGCUUCGACAGAGGGACCUUUAACGUCUGAUUUCUUACAGCACGUAAUAAAAAUAAUUCACGCGUAACUAGUAAAUGUUUCACACGCGUAACUAUCAAAUGUUUCACACGUGUAACUAUCAAAUGUUUCACACGUGUAACUAUCAAAUGUUUCACACUUGUAACUAUCAAAUGUUUCACACGUGUAACUAUCAAAUGUUUCACACU